GGGGAUAACGGUUAGAAAUGACUGCUAAUACCGCAUAAGCGCACAGUACCGCAUGGUACGGUGUGAAAAACUCCGGUGGUAUGAGAUGGACCCGCGUCUGAUUAGCUAGUUGGUGGGGUAACGGCCCACCAAGGCGACGAUCAGUAGCCGACCUGAGAGGGUGACCGGCCACAUUGGGACUGAGACACGGCCCAGACUCCUACGGGAGGCAGCAGUGGGGGAUAUUGCACAAUGGAGGAAACUCUGAUGCAGCGACGCCGCGUGAGUGAAGAAGUAUUUCGGUAUGUAAAGCUCUAUCAGCAGGGAAGAAAAUGACGGUACCUGAAUAAGAAGCCCCGGCUAACUACGUGCCAGCAGCCGCGGUAAUACGUAGGGGGCAAGCGUUAUCCGGAUUUACUGGGUGUAAAGGGAGCGUAGACGGAGACGCAAGUCUGAAGUGAAAUACCCGGGCUCAACCUGGGAACUGCUUUGGAAACUGUGUUGCUAGAGUGCUGGAGAGGUAAGCGGAAUUCCUAGUGUAGCGGUGAAAUGCGUAGAUAUUAGGAAGAACACCAGUGGCGAAGGCGGCUUACUGGACA
rnacentral:rRNA from 1 species